rnacentral:rRNA from 1 species
GACGAACGCUGGCGGCGUGCCUAACACAUGCAAGUCGAGCGGACGGACGCGGAGCUUGCGGCGCUGAUGUUAGCGGCGGACGGGUGAGUAACACGUGGAUAACCUCCCUAUCUGACUGGGAUAACUUCGGGAAUCCGUAUCUUAUACCGGAUAAUAUUCUGAACCGCGUGGGUCGAAAGUGAAAGACGGCCUUGCUGUCACUUAUCGAUGGAUCCGCGCUGCAUUAGCUAGUUGGUAAGGUAACGGCUUACCAAGGCAACGAUGCAUAGCCGACCUGAGAGGGUGAUCGGCCACACUGGAACUGAGACACGGUCCAGACUCCUACGGGAGGCAGCAGUAGGGAAUCUUCCGCAAUGGGCGAAAGCCUGACGGAGCAACGCCGCGUGAGUGAUGAAGGUCUUCGGAUCGUAAAACUCUGUUAUUAGGGAAGAACAUAUGUGUAAGUAACUGUGCACAUCUUGACGGUACCUAAUCAGAAAGCCACGGCUAACUACGUG